rnacentral:misc_RNA from 1 species
UGUGGGAGCGGGCUUGCUCGCGAUGCGGGCGGCAGGUUUUACCUGUAAGACCAUGCUGGGGCAAUCGCGAGCAAGCCCGCUCCCACA